UACGGGGGGAGCAAGCGUUGUUCGGAUUUACUGGGCGUAAAGGGCGCGUAGGCGGCCACCGCAAGUCGACUGUGAAAUCUCCGGGCUUAACCCGGAAAGGUCAAUCGAUACUGCGGGGCUAGAGUGCAGAAGGGGCAACUGGAAUUCUCGGUGUAGCGGUGAAAUGCGUAGAUAUCGAGAGGAACACCUGCGGCGAAGGCGGGUUGCUGGGCUGACACUGACGCUGAGGCGCGAAAGCUAGGGGAGCGAACGGG
rnacentral:rRNA from 1 species